CGGAGGUGCAAGCGUUGUCCGGAUUUAUUGGGUUUAAAGGGUGCGUAGGCGGCCAUUUAAGUCUGGGGUGAAAGCCCGUUGCUCAACAACGGAACUGCCCUGGAAACUGGAUGGCUUGAGUACAGACGAGGGUGGCGGAAUGGAUGCUGUAGCGGUGAAAUGCAUAGAUAGCAUCCAGAACCCCGAUUGCGAAGGCAGCUGCCUAGACUGUAACUGACGCUGAGGCACGAAAGCGUGGGGAGCGAACAGGAUU
rnacentral:rRNA from 1 species